rnacentral:rRNA from 1 species
AUACGUAGGGGGCGAGCGUUGUCCGGAAUGACUGGGCGUAAAGGGCGUGUAGGCGGCGGUGUAAGUCUGGAGUGAAAGUCCCGCAUUCAAUGUGGGAAUUGCUUUGGAUACUGCAGUGCUAGAGUGCGGAAGAGGUAAGUGGAAUUCCCAGUGUAGCGGUGAAAUGCGUAGAUAUUAGGAGGAACAUCGGUGGCGAAGGCGGCUUACUCGGCCUUUACUGACGCUGAGGCACGAAAGCGUGGGGAGCAAACAGGAUUAGAUACCCUGGUAGUCCACGCUGUAAACGAUGAUGACUAGGUGUGGGGGGACUGAACCCUUCCGUGCCGCAGUUAACACAAUAAGUAUUCCGCCUGGGGAGUACGGCCGCAAGGUUGAAACUCAAAUGAAUUGGCGGG